CUUGCCUAUUACAAGAGCGACGGGCGAUUUGUGCAUAGAAAGUUCCAUCUUCAUUCUUAUUUAAGUGUAUUAAAUUUAUUAGUUCCAAGUCCAAUUUCCUACAUACUGAAUUGAUAUUCCAAUGAUUAUUUUUUGUAUCCCAUAUUAUUCCUUAGAAUAGUCCUUGUCUUGAUUUGUUUUGUUCUUCCUGUAAGCAUUUAGCCUUCUUUUCUGUUGCAGCUUUAAAACAAUGAUAUAAGAAAUAAGUUCCAAGGUUCAGUUGAUCGUGGGCUAUCGAUUACAGCACAGGAUCCCCUGUCUUGGAUUUCUACCGCCAUUCCAUUUAGAUUUCCCUUAGUUAUCUACUACCUUUCUUUACGGUAAAA
rnacentral:rRNA from 1 species